AUUUAAAUAGUUUAAAUAAAAUAUUGAUUUGUGGUGUCAAAGAUAUGAUUAAAUCAUUUUAAAUA
rnacentral:tRNA from 2 species